rnacentral:lncRNA from 1 species
AUCUAGAUAUCCAUAAGUUCAGAGCAUCAAAAUAAAAGGGUAAUCAUAUUUAGGGCUUCAACCUAAACCCUAUAAAAAUAAGAAGUUACAUUGAAACUAAGAAAAUACAAGAAAGAAAUAAAAUGAAAAAAACUAAAAACAAGGAGGAGACAAAGAAUUACAUCUCAACCCCUUGGAUCCUUGCCUCAAGGCUCCCCAAGAUUUUCUCCAAUUAUCAUGCCAUUCUCCCCUCUCCUUGUUUGCUUCUUGCUCUCCUCCUUCUCUAAAAAUCAGAAAUUUCAAAGUGUAGAGAAUGAUGAGCUUCUUGCUUGGCUGCUACUCCUUAGCUACCUUCUCCUCUUUCUCUCUUCCAACUUAUUACUCGAUCGGAUACCUCACUUUUUACCCAAAGUUCCAGGUGAAGGCGAGUGCCUUGAAUUUAUUUGGCAUGGUAAGUAUCAAUCAGUAGUUAUGGCCUUCCGAAUUACAGGUGGUCUCCUUCGUGAUGCCGACCUUCAUACUUUGGCGACGUGGGACUGUUGUGUUAGGUUACUCUUCCUACUUGGUCUUCGGCAAG